UACAAAUACAAGAACACUUUAUUUGAUGUUAAAAUUGAUACAGAAUCCAACAUCUCAACAACCCUCACAAUCACUGAGAUUCUUCCGUCCACUAAGACGAUUGCUUCAUUCAAAUUUCCUGACUAUAAUACUGGCAAGUUGGAAGUUCAAUAUUUCCAUGAUCAUGCAACCUUCAGCACAGCCCUUGCUUUGAACAAAUCUCCUG
rnacentral:misc_RNA from 1 species